rnacentral:rRNA from 1 species
GAUGAACGCUGGCGGCGUGCCUAAUACAUGCAAGUCGAGCGAACGGACGUGAAGCUUGCUUCUCUGAUGUUAUCGGCGGACGGGUGAGUAACACGUGGCUAACCUACCUAUAAGACUGGGCUAACUUCGGGAACCCGGAGCUAAUACCGGAUAAUCUUUUGAACCGCAUGGUUCAAAAGUGAAAGACGGUCUUGCUGUCACUUAUAGAUGGAUCCGCGCUGCAUUAGCUAGUUGGUAAGGUAACGGCUUACCAAGGCAACGAUGCAUAGCCGACCUGAGAGGGUGAGCGGCCACACUGGAACUGAGACACGGUCCAGACUCCGACGGGAGGCAGCAGUAGGGAAGCUUCCGCAAUGAGCGAAAGCCUGACGGAGCAACGCCGCGGGAGUGAUGAAGGUCUUCGGAUCGUAAAACUCUGUUAUUAGGGAAGAAGAUAUGUGUAAGUAACUGUGCACAUCUUGACGGUACCUAAUCAGAAAGCCACGGCUAACUACGUG